rnacentral:rRNA from 1 species
GUAGGUCCCGAGCGUUGUCCGGAUUUAUUGGGCGUAAAGCGAGCGCAGGCGGUUAGAAAAGUCUGAAGUGAAAGGCAGUGGCUCAACCAUUGUAGGCUUUGGAAACUGUUUAACUUGAGUGCAGAAGGGGAGAGUGGAAUUCCAUGUGUAGCGGUGAAAUGCGUAGAUAUAUGGAGGAACACCGGUGGCGAAAGCGGCUCUCUGGUCUGUAACUGACGCUGAGGCUCGAAAGCGUGGGGAGCGAACAGGAUUAGAUACCCUGGUAGUCCACGCCGUAAACGAUGAGUGCUAGGUGUUAGGUCCUUUCCGGGACUUAGUGCCGCAGCUAACGCAUUAAGCACUCCGCCUGGGGAGU